CGACUUAUAUUCUGUAGCAAGGUUAACCGAAUAGGGGAGCCGGAGGGAAACCGAGUCUUAACCGGGCGUUAAGUUGCAGGGUAUAGACCCGAAACCCGGUGAUCUAGCCAUGGGCAGGUUGAAGGUUGGGUAACACUAACUGGAGGACCGAACCGACUAAUGUUGAAAAAUUAGCGGAUGACCUGUGGCUGGGGGUGAAAGGCCAAUCAAACCGGGAGAUAGCUGGUUCUCCCCGAAAGCUAUUUAGGUAGCGCCUCGUGAAUUCAUCUCCGGGGGUAGAGCACUGUUUCGGCUAGGGGGCCAUCCCGGCUUACCAACCCGAUGCAAACUGCGAAUACCGGAGAAUGUUAUCACGGGAGACACACGGCGGGUGCUAACGUCCGUCGUGAAGAGGGAAACAACCCAGACCGCCAGCUAAGGUCCCAAAGUCAUGGUUAAGUGGGAAACGAUGUGGGAAGGCCCAGACAGCCAGGAUGUUGGCUUAGAAGCAGCCAUCAUUUAAAGAAAGCGUAAUAGCUCACUGGUCGAGUCGGCCUGCGCGGAAGAUGUAACGGGGCUAAACCAUGCACCGAAGCUGCGGCAGCGACGCUGAUGCGUUGUUGGGUAGGGGAGCGUUCUGUAAGCCUGCGAAGGUGGCCUGUGAGGGUUGCUGGAGGUAUCAGAAGUGCGAAUGCUGACAUAAGUAACGAUAAAGCGGGUGAAAAGCCCGCUCGCCGGAAGACCAAGGGUUCCUGUCCAACGUUAAUCGGGGCAGGGUGAGUCGACCCCUAAGGCGAGGCCGAAAGGCGUAGUCGAUGGGAAACGGGUUAAUAUUCCCGUACUUGGUGUUACUGCGAAGGGGGGACGGAGAAGGCUAUGUUGGCCGGGCGACGGUU
rnacentral:rRNA from 1 species